rnacentral:rRNA from 1 species
CCUACGGGAGGCAGCAGUGGGGGAUAUUGCACAAUGGGGGGAACCCUGAUGCAGCGACGCCGCGUGGGUGAAGGAGCGUUUCGGCGCGUAAAGCCCUAUCGGCAGGGACGAAGAUGACGGUACCUGACAAAGACGCCCCGGCUAACUACGUGCCAGCAGCCGCGGUAAUACGUAGGGGGCAAGCGUGAUCCGGAUGUACUGGGCGGAAAGGGGGCGCAGACGGCAGAGCAAGCAAGGAGUGAAGGCCCGGGGCCCAACCCCGGGACUGCUCAUGGAACUGCAUGGCUGGAGUGCAGGAGGGGGAGGGGGAAUUCCUAGUGUAGCAGUGAAAUGCGUAGAUAUUAGGAGGAACACCGGUGGCGAAGGCGGCCUGCUGGAACGCGACUGACGUUGAGGCCCGAAGGCGUGGGGAGCAAACAGGAUUAGAUACCCGGGUAGUC